rnacentral:rRNA from 1 species
GCUAAUUUGCUGACGAGUGGCGCACGGGUGCGUAACGCGUAUGCAAUCUACCUUGUACUGGAGUAUAGCCCAGGGAAACUUGGAUUAAUCCUCCAUAGUCUAUUGAUAUGGCAUCGUAUUAAUAGUAAAGGUUACGGUACAAGAUGAGCAUGCGUCCUAUUAGCUAGUAGGUGUGGUAACGGCACACCUAGGCAACGAUAGGUAGGGGUCCUGAGAGGGAGAUCCCCCACACUGGUACUGAGACACGGACCAGACUCCUACGGGAGGCAGCAGUGAGGAAUAUUGGACAAUGGGCGGGAGCCUGGUCCAGCCAUGCCGCGUGCAGGAAGACUGCCCUAUGGGUUGUAAACUGCUUUUAUACGGGAAGAAUAAGUGUUACGUGUAGCACGAUGACGGUACCGUAAGAAUAAGCACCGGCUAACUCCGUGCCAGCAGCCGCGGUAAUACGGAGGGUGCAAGCGUUAUCCGGAAUCAUUGGGUUUAAAGGGUCCGUAGGUGGACUAAUAAGUCAGUGGUGAAAGUCUGCAGCUUAACUGUAGAAUUGCCAUUGAUACUGUUGGUCUUGAAUUGUUGUGAAGUAACUAGAAUAUGUAGUGUAGCGGUGAAAUGCAUAGAUAUUACAUAGAAUACCGAUUGCGAAGGCAGGUUAC